AGAGUUUGAUCAUGGCUCAGAUUGAACGCUGGCGGCAGGCCUAACACAUGCAAGUCGAGCGGUAGCACAAGAGAGCUUGCUCUCUGGGUGACGAGCGGCGGACGGGUGAGUAAUGUCUGGGAAACUGCCUGAUGGAGGGGGAUAACUACUGGAAACGGUAGCUAAUACCGCAUGACGUCUUCGGACCAAAGUGGGGGACCUUCGGGCCUCACGCCAUCAGAUGUGCCCAGAUGGGAUUAGCUAGUAGGUGGGGUAAUGGCUCACCUAGGCGACGAUCUCUAGCUGGUCUGAGAGGAUGACCAGCCACACUGGAACUGAGACACGGUCCAGACUCCUACGGGAGGCAGCAGUGGGGAAUAUUGCACAAUGGGCGCAAGCCUGAUGCAGCCAUGCCGCGUGUAUGAAGAAGGCCUUCGGGUUGUAAAGUACUUUCAGCGAGGAGGAAGGCAUUAAGGUUAAUAACCUUGGUGAUUGACGUUACUCGCAGAAGAAGCACCGGCUAACUCCGUGCCAGCAGCCGCGGUAAUACGGAGGGUGCAAGCGUUAAUCGGAAUUACUGGGCGUAAAGCGCACGCAGGCGGUUUGUUAAGUCAGAUGUGAAAUCCCCGAGCUUAACUUGGGAACUGCAUUUGAAACUGGCAAGCUAGAGUCUUGUAGAGGGGGGUAGAAUUCCAGGUGUAGCGGUGAAAUGCGUAGAGAUCUGGAGGAAUACCGGUGGCGAAGGCGGCCCCC
rnacentral:rRNA from 1 species